AGAGCAGAUGGGGACUUGGCGUGAGAUAUUUCAAGUAGUACAUUUACUUUUGUCACUGACUCUUAUGUAAUAGACUACAGAGUAAAUUCAAAGGUGUCGAAGAGAAAGGGCCACUGUGCUGUGUGUGUGUAUUGUGAAAUCAGCCCUUUUGUAAAUCCUGCAUGGUCAGAAGCUCCCCGAGGGUGAGAAAGAUCAUCUUGUUGAGCCACGGAGCUUCAGCUCUUAGCCUAACCUCUGACUUUUGGCACUUCUCUGAUUGAGUGAUGCUUACCCAGAUCAUGACAGCCGACCAACAGAAAAUUGAGGUGUUUUAUUUAUUUUUUUAAAGCAAAGCUGUAUCUCAUUACAUCUUUGAUCUUCAGGUAGGCAGUCUGAUGUUUCAGGGGCCAUUCCUAGGUUGCUGGUCGAUGGCUUUACUUUUUUUCUGUAGUUAGCUUCUCAGUCAGGGAAACAGUGGCUGAGCCUGGAGUCUCGUCUGGUGUUACUUGAUAUUUCGGUGAAUCUCACAACCAUGUAGGGGAUGAUUGAUUGUUGCUGUAGUUUCCACAACCCCAGUUUUCCAGAUAAGAAUGCUGGGAACCAAGAAGAUGUAAUGACUUGCCCAAGGUCAUCCAGCUAGUAAGCCCUGCAGCGUGCACCCCCCCACCCCCUCUGCCCCAGGCAGACUCCCUGCUCCCAUCAAGCCUGCUUUUCUCGGAGCCCACGCUUGCCUUAGAGUUGUUUUAUUAGCUCAAAAUGUUCCCAGUGUUUAGCUUUCCUAGGGGACCUCUUUUUAGGUGAAAGAGCCGCGACGAACACCCCUCCACCAGUCUGUGGACAAACAGUCCCAUAAACCCCACUGGCAGUGUUUAAUUUGUGGGAAAUGUCAGCUGCCAUUUCCUGUGGAGAAAGCCUCGUGGCCUAGGGCUUAGCACGCCUGGAUCCACCUCCUAGCCUUUCCUCUGGAAGCAGGAGAGCGAAGUGAAGGCUAGGAAGUCAAAAGAAUGGGUAGUUCCCAUGGUGGCUCAGUAGUUAAUGAAUCUGACUGGGAACCAUGAGGUUGCAGGUUUGAUCCCUGCCCUUGCUCAGUGGGUUAACGAUCCGGUGUUGCCGUGAGCUAUGGAUGCGGCUCGGAUCCUGCACUGCUGUGGUUCUGGUGUAGGCUAGCAGCUGUAGCUGCGAUUUGACUCCUAGCCUGGGAACCUCCAUAUGCCGCAGGAGCGGCCCAAGAAUGGAUCAGCGUUGCUGUGAGCUGUGUGUAGGUCGCAGACACGGCUCAGAUCUGGUGUGGUUUUGGUGUAGGCUGGGGGCUACAGCUUGGAUUCAGCCCCUAGCCUGGGAACCUCCAUAUGCCACAGGUGCGGCCCUAAAAAGCAGACCCCCCCCCCACAAAAAAAAACCAAGUACAUGUGUGACUUUUGGCUCUUCAAAAGCUUCAUGACUGUAGUUGGAUUUGGGAAAGACAAGAAUCCUGGCAGACCUCUCUAAGAGUCAGUGAGCCUGCCCGCUUGUGCAGAAUCCAGGGUUGAGGGCACUGGUGAUCUGGGGGGGCAGGGGCAGUGACUUUUGCUGAAGGCCUGCCUUUGCACGUGGGGUUUAGAGCGUGCACGUUAAAAGCCAAAAGUUCUCUUUGUUGCUUCUGUUCUCAGUAGUACUUUUAUUUUUUCUUUCUUUUUUUUUUUUUCUAGUGGUACUUUUUUAGCCGGUAGCUAGAAGGGAGUCCUUGACCCAUGGCUUUUUAAAGGAACGUUGCACAGAACUCUAGCAAUUAGAAAGCAUUCCUUGAUUCACAUGGUACCUGACAAGAGGAGACUCUAUGCAGAAAUUCUAGUUUUAUCUCUUCUGGAGGCUAGUGAGCAUAUUACGUGUGACAAGCUUUUCCUGAGUCAGUUCUGUCACCGUUAUGGUACAAGUCUCACAGUUUCAGAGCUCGAAUGGCCUAGGAGUAAUCACCUCCUCAAAACCUUAGGAGGUAUUAUCGAAUGGGAAAUUCAAGUGAAAUUCUCUUGGGUUUUAGCCAGACUGCUGUAUUAAAAAAAAAAAAAAAAAUCAACUGUCAACAGAAGUGCCCCACCCCCCUCCCCAUUCUCUUGUGCAGUGUGGAGCUGUACGGGGCCACCCUGACCCUGCUCCCUACUGUGUCACAGGCACCAAGGUGACCAGAUGAAAAAUGCAUAAGUACUUGAUCCAGGUAGCUGGCCCUUUGCAUGAAAGCACACUCAGGAGAGUGCUCUUGACCCUUGACCUCGAGGAACGCACAUGUAAGGGGAAGUUUUCAGGAACUAGGGCUCGAGAUUGAGGUCAGUCAUCCACAGGCCUUUGCUUCUUUCCCAGACCAAAUCCUGUAUGUUCUGAGUGAUGAGUGCGUCCCCCUCCCCGCCCGCUCGCCCCCUUGGUGUUUUGCUCCAAGACAAUCAGACCAGCCCUCGUGCUCUUUGUGAACAGUCAAAUUACGUUCUGUUUCCAUAGGCUUUUCAGGAGGGUUUCAGCACUUCGAGUUUAUUGGCCUCUUUUGAAAAUGCUUUUCUCCUUAUUGGGGAUGCCACCCCCAAAUAGUGCACUCCCAAGUGCUCAUAUUAGCGUGGGAACAGCUGCCUAGUUUGCGCUGCCUUUUCAGUUAUUUCAUGAGACUUCUUAAAGAAGUCGGUACUAGCUAAAGAGCAGGUACUGUUGGAGUUCCCGUCAUGGCUCAGUGGCUAAUGAAUCCAACUAGGAACCAUGAGGUUGUGGGUUCGAUCCCUGGCCUUGCUCAGUGGGUUAAGGAUCUGGUGUUGCCUUGAGCUGUGGUUUAGGUUGCAGACAUGGCUCGGAUCACGCGUUGCUGUGGCUCUGAUUAGACUCUUAGCCUGGGAACCUCCCUAUGCCUUGGGAGCGGCCCUAGAAAAGGCAAAAAGACCAAAAAAAAAAAAAAAAAAAAAAAAAAA
rnacentral:lncRNA from 1 species